GGGGGCAGCCGGGCUGGGCAGAGCGGCGGCGCCUGGCUUCCUCUUACUCCUCUCCCCAGUCCUAAAAUGAGCGCUCUCCCCGGCGCUCUGGGAGCUUAGAGGAAGGCGUAGCUAGAUAUCUCUCUCUCUUUCUCUCCCUCUCUCUCUCUCCCCUUUCCUCCCCCCUUGGUGUUUCUUCCAGCUCAGCCUCCUUCUCAUUUCAUCUCUACGUGCCCAGAGCUUCAAAUACAACCCUCCCAUCACAAUCAGACGGCCACAAAACUUCAACCAGCCGUUUCUCUGCCAGGAAGUGGCGGAGAUAGAACCUGGAUGGUUUCAUAGUUAAGCAGAGUAGAUGAAGCGUAAUGAAGGUGCAAAUCUGAAAUGCGGAGCCUGGAAAACAGUCCAGAUCACCAUUGAGAAAAGGACAAGGCCUGGGGGAGGAAGGUGACAGCUCCCUUCAACCAGUGUGGAGAAAGAGGAGAUUUCUGGAUACGGAACAGGCCUGGGGGUUCAGCUUCACUCUGCUACUUGGAAACUGCAGGACUCCAACCCACUUGGCCACUCCGAGCCUCAGUUUCACCAGAUGUAAAAUGGGCCCUUUCGUGCCUGCCCAAUCCUUUCGGAGACUUCCCCACUAUGUCCCUCUUUGGACUCUCUGGCCCCAUAUCCAGACCUCCAUCACUACAGUCACUGAACUGGGUGUGCACGCGUUCUCUUCCCUCAUCGCUUUGGAAGCUCUCUGAGGCCAACAGCUUGCUCACCGUUAUGUCUUUGAAACCUGAUAUGGGGCUGGCUCCACAGAAGCCUGAUAAAGGUUGAGUGAUGACGGAGAGGAUUGAAGGGUGCGAGACAAGUGAAGGGCCUGGCACAUAGGGGGCACUCAGCAAGGGCGGGCUUCCCCCUUUUACAUCCAGAGUGGUCUCCAGCCCCUUCUUCUGUGGAACCCGUGUACCACUCCCUUCCCCCUUCCCGGCCAGCCUGGCUCCUUAGGUCCCUUCUGCUGCUGGGGCCCAGGCAGGGCUACCUGGGAAGAACUGGCUUGGCUCAGGGCCCAAUGGAUGCUUGGGACCCACCAGGCCCGGUGCGUUGUGGCUGCAGUAUGGAUGCUCUUAGGGGAGCGGCUUUGUGUGCCUGCGGCUUGUUACUUGCAAAGGGCUUAGAGGAAAUUAGCCGAAAUGCCAAAGGCCUAUUUUGAGCUGCUUCUUUGAUGGAGUGGAAAUAACAUGGGAUUUGGGCACAGCAGACCUGGCCUUGAAGCACAAAGCUGCCGUUUCCUCAUUGUUUGACCUUGAACCUCUCCAGAAACUCGUCUCUUAAUCUAUCAGGGAGGACCGUGGAUAAGAGCAAAGGCAUGGCUGUCAGUGCUUCCUUUCAAUGACAGUGACACCAGCUAACAUUUACUGGGCAUCUGCAGAGUGGCACUGACUAAGGCAUGGGGCACUGACCCAAGUUGAAUCUCACAAUGGCCCGAGGACAAGGGUACCCUCACUACUGCCAUCUUAAAGACGAGGAAACUGCCUCACGUAAGGGUUUGAGUAUCUGGCAUAAGGUUGCCCAGUUAGUGAGUGGCAGAGCUGGGAGUCCAAUCCAGAGCCUGUCUUGAAAAACUAUGUCUUACCCUUUGUGCCUUGACCCGAGAAGUGAGCUUUCGGCGUAAUGGUUUACGCAGACGCCUUUGCCUUCUCACCCGGAUUUGCAAGCUUUAUUGAGUAACUCCUAGGAGCCAGGCACAGUCUCCUACAGACACCCACUCCUAACUCUCCAGUCACCUUCGAAAUACACGUUAAUAACUUUUGCUGUGAGUGAGUAAACAAAGUCUCAGAGAGGUCAAACACCAAGUCCCAAGGUCCUCCGUCAAGUAAGCAGAACCGCAAACACUGAACACUGGGCGCUGCUUCAAGUACUACAAGCAAGGAGUCCAAAGCUGAGCUGUUCAUUUAUUCAUUCAAAGAACGGACCAUCUACUAUGUGUCAGACCCUAGGCUUUUCCUCCCGGGGCACUGUUCCCCAUGUGUGGAAUUGCUGUUUGAUGUCAAAGUUUGACCGGCACACGAGCACAUCCUAAUCAUUUAAGAAAAAGAGCAUUGAAGGGCAGAGAGCGGAGGAAGAAAAGACAGCGCCCAGCAACUUCUAGGGGAGAAGAAAUCUAAUCUCACACAGGGACCGAGCCCAAGGGGGUCAAGCUGGAGCCCUUGUGCUUGUGCGGCAUCUGCUACCCUAGCCCAGGAGCUCCCUGUGCACCAGCAUGGUGGCCCCUCAAAGGCCUGCUGAGAAUUCGGAGGAACCCGGGGGCUUUCACAGGCCUGCAAGGGCAGACCCCUGCCCCAGGCCAGCCCAGGCCAGGCUUGGACCCGCGGUAGUUUCCCUCACUGUCAUUUGCAUCUUGCGUUGAGUUGCCACGGAACAGGCCCUCAGUACUGUAGGGAAGGUGAACAGUGGAGAAGAGUGGAAAAACUGAUCCUAGCUGCACGUUCUGUUUAUUGACGGGAGAGUCCUGUUGACCAGCCAGAUACCAAGACAUCCGCCGAGCAUGGACUGUGCCUGGAAUGCCUCACUUUGUGUGAAUUCACUUCAUCGUCACAGCAAGCCCUCAAGGGAGGUUCUGCCAUGAUGCUUGUCUUGCAGAUGGAAAACUCAGAGCACAGAGGGGUUGAGUAAUUUGCCCAAGGCCACACAACCAAGUAUGUGAUAGAGUCAAGACUCAGCCCUGAGGCUGUCCUGGAGACCUUCAUGCUGCAGAACAGUGCCGUGGGCCGUGUGCACACAGGACUCCGGGAAAGUGGGGAACUGCGGCCAGCUCCCUGCUUUGAACCUCGCCUCUCAUCUCCCUGCUGUCCCCAAAGCCCUCCGCACUGAAGUGUAGCCGCACCCCUUCCUUCCCCUACAAGGUGACCCUUUCCAUUCUAUCUGUUGUUUUCUCUUUGUCCCUGGUGUCCACCCACGAGCAGAUCAUCUGCAAGAAGACACAGAGACUGAAGUCCCGGCCAGCGGUCCCUGCUCGGGCUGCCUUCUCUUGCUUUUCCUUGUCCUCUUCUCCCUGAACUGUACAUCCCUCCAGAUCCCUCCACACCUGUGCGAACCACCUGUGCGAUUUUCACCUGUUUGGAGAAACCAGAGUAAUGCGGACGGCCAGUCAGACACCCCAGGCAUCGUGUGCACACGUUCACACGGAGGGCCGGGCCACUGUUCUGCAAAUGGGACUUUAUGAGCCACCCUUUCUGCGUCUUGCUGUACUCGUUCACAGUGACACUUGCGGGAAUCCCUCCAAGUCAGGUGCAAUUGCUCUAAUUCAGUCUUUUAAUGUGGCAUCAUGUUUCAGAGUGAAGAAGAACUAUAAUUUCUUCAUCCUGUCUUCUAUUGACAGGCAUUCACUUUAUUUCCUGUUUCUUACCCUCUGCUAUAAACAGUGCUGCAAUAAACAUCCUUAUACACACAGCCUUCCGACCAGAGCUUUUACUUGGAUGGAAUAGAAUCCCAGGAGCAGGAUUGACCAAAUGAAGGGUAUGUGUAUUUUUUUUUUAUUUGAGUAUCUUGCCAGAAUGUUUUCCAAAAAUACUGUAACUCUUUGAGUGUCUCCAGCUCAUGAGCCGGCGAUUUCCCUGCAUCCACUCCAGCCAUCGGUCCUAGCUUUAUUUUUAAUUUUGCCUGUCUGAUGGAGCUGAGAUGAAAUCUCAUGGUUACUGUAAUUUCCAUUUCCAGUUCAACUCGUAAGUUCGGGCAUCUUUUCCUGUGUUUGUUGGCCGUUUGGACUUGUGCUGAGUCUCGCCUUUCUUGUCUUUGCCUGACUAGAAUCCUCCUCAUCCUUUAGUUCGGAACAGCUCUUUGCUGUAAUAUACAGACAUUAACAUUUUGUUUGACUUCUGUGUUGCAAGCAGUCUUAUACUCAAACUGCCUGUCUUUAUAUUGAUACUGAGAAUGACAUCUGCUGCCAUAAAAGUAAUUUUUGUGUGGU